UACGGGGGGGGCAAGCGUUGUUCGGAAUUACUGGGCGUAAAGGGCGCGUAGGCGGUUGGAUAAGUUGGUGGUGAAAACCUCGAGCUUAACUCGGGGCCUGCCAUCAAUACUGCCCGGCUGGAGUGUGGGAGAGGAGAGUGGAAUUCCCGGUGUAGCGGUGAAAUGCGUAGAUAUCUGCAGGAACACCCGUGGCGAAAGCGGCGCGCUGGACCACAACUGACGCUGAGGAACGAAAGCUAGGGGAGCAAACAGG
rnacentral:rRNA from 1 species